rnacentral:lncRNA from 1 species
UGAAGAAUAGUGACAGCCUCUUCUCCAUCGCACAAAGAAAAGGGGCAUCACUGAGAGAAUACUUGGCACGUUUUAACGCCACUACUCCCAGAGUCCAUGACUUCAACGGAUCCACCACCACAUUGGCAAUGGAGUGAGGACUCAGAGGUGAGUGCCUAGUUUUCUCCCUCAAUAAGGACUUCUCGGAGAACAAUGCCAACCUCCUAACCUGAGUGCAAUAAGACGCUCAAGCUAAGGAAGGUAAAGUCCGACUUCGAAAAGAAGAGGGGAGGAAGAACGAUGACAAAAAGAGGCCUCGUGAUGAUGAUCGCUGAGCUUCAAAAUAAGGAGGAGAG